rnacentral:pre_miRNA from 1 species
UGUUAAAAAUUUCAUUCAUUUCUACCGUUAAAAACCGAUAUUACUAAAAGAAUAACCAAAUAAUAACACGUGGCAUGUCACUUAUUCUUUAUGAUCACAUAAAAUGACAAAUUUUUAACAAUAAAUAUAGAUGAAACUUUUUAAUA